rnacentral:lncRNA from 1 species
GGCCUAACGCCGAGAGGACACUUUCGUUAAAUCCGCUAACGAGAUGGACGACGCGAUUACUUUUGAUACGAAGAGAAUAGAUUUUAUGAUUUCGGACAAACCUAAGGGAUCGAUUGCAGCUGUUUGUUAACCAAGUCAGGAGCAUAUUAUGUUAAAAGGAAAGAGAUGAAACAAGUUACCUAAGAAAAGAAGGGUGGCCAACGGAAAUUGAAGGCGAAUAGCAGUAAACAAAGUUGAGCUGAUGAUGUCCUCUCACCUCAGUUGCUUGCCGUUAUUAACGACGUUUACUAGCCAGCCUACUUCAUUUGGAGAAACUUACUUCUACUUGAUUCAAACGAGGGAAAAAAGCCACUUCAAAUCCAAAAUGCUGACUUUGACUUCGUCUCUUCUUUCUUUCCUGUGAGCCGGUGUAUACUGUAUACUACUGCUGCACCGUACGUAUGGAAGCCAUCGAAUAUUAUCCGGCCAGUCGAUGCAGCCAACAGCCUAAAUCAUU